CCUACGGGCGGCAGCAGUGGGGAAUAUUGGACAAUGGGCGAAAGCCUGAUCCAGCCAUGCCGCGUGUGUGAAGAAGGCCUUCGGGUUGUAAAGCACUUUCAGUGGGGAAGAAAGCCUUGGGGCUAAUACCCUCGAGGAAGGACAUCACCCACAGAAGAAGCACCGGCUAACUCCGGGCCAGCAGCCGCGGUAAUACGGAGGGUGCGGGCGUUAAUCGGAAUUACUGGGCGUAAAGCGCGCGUAGGCGGUCUGAUAAGCCGGUUGUGAAAGCCCCGGGCUCAACCUGGGAACGGCAUCCGGAACUGUCAGGCUAGAGUGCAGGAGAGGAAGGUAGAAUUCCCGGUGUAGCGGUGAAAUGCGUAGAGAUCGGGAGGAAUACCAGUGGCGAAGGCGGCCUUCUGGACUGACACUGACGCUGAGGUGCGAAAGCGUGGGUAGCAAACAGGAUUAGAUACCCUGGUAGUC
rnacentral:rRNA from 1 species